ACGGGUGAGUAACACGUGAGUAACCUGCCCUUGACUCUGGGAUAAGCCUGGGAAACUGGGUCUAAUACCGGAUACGACCAUCUGGCGCAUGUCAUGGUGGUGGAAAGCUUUUGUGGUUUUGGAUGGACUCGCGGCCUAUCAGCUUGUUGGUGGGGUAAUGGCCUACCAAGGCGACGACGGGUAGCCGGCCUGAGAGGGUGACCGGCCACACUGGGACUGAGACACGGCCCAGACUCCUACGGGAGGCAGCAGUGGGGAAUAUUGCACAAUGGGCGCAAGCCUGAUGCAGCGACGCCGCGUGAGGGAUGACGGCCUUCGGGUUGUAAACCUCUUUCAGUAGGGAAGAAGCCGUAAGGUGACGGUACCUGCAGAAGAAGCGCCGGCUAACUACGUGCCAGCAGCCGCGGUAAUACGUAGGGCGCAAGCGUUAUCCGGAAUUAUUGGGCGUAAAGAGCUCGUAGGCGGUUUGUCGCGUCUGCUGUGAAAGACCGGGGCUCAACUCCGGUUCUGCAGUGGGUACGGGCAGACUAGAGUGCAGUAGGGGAGACUGGAAUUCCUGGUGUAGCGGUGAAAUGCGCAGA
rnacentral:rRNA from 1 species